UACGGAGGGUGCAAGCAUUGAUCGGAAUUACUGGGCGUAAAGGGCGCGUAGGCGGUUUUGAAAGUCAGAUGUGAAAUUCUGGGGCUCAACCCCGGGGCUGCAUUUGAGACUUUAGAACUAGAGGACAGUUAGGGAAAACGGAAUUCCACGUGUAGCGGUGAAAUGCGUAGAUAUGUGGAAGAACACCGGUGGUGAAGACGGUUUUCUGGGCUGAACCUGACGCUGAGGCGCGAAAGCAAGGGGAGCAAACAGG
rnacentral:rRNA from 1 species